GUUUGAUCCUGGCUCAGGAUAAACGCUGGCGGUGUGCUUUAUGCAUGCAAGUCGAACGGUCCCGAUUUAUCGGGACAGUGGCGAACGGGUGAGUAACACGUAAGUAACCUACCCCAAAGUAGGGAAUAACUUUGAGAAAUCGGAGCUAAUACCUUAUGUGGUGGUGGGGGUAAUGCUCCAUCACUAAAGCCUUCGGGUGCUUAGGGAGGGGCUUGCGUCCGAUUAGCUAGUUGGUAAGGUAAUGGCCUACCAAGGCAAUGAUCGGUAGCUGGUCUGAGAGGAUGGUCAGCCACACUGGGACUGAGGCACGGCCCAGACUCCUACGGGAGGCAGCAGCAAGGAAUAUUGUGCAAUGGGCGAAAGCCUGACACAGCGACACCGCGUGGGGGAAGAAGGCCUUCGGGUCGUAAAUCCCUUUUCUCAGGGAAGAAUAAUGACGGUACCUGAGGAAUAAGUCACGGCUAACUACGUGCCAGCAGCCGCGGUAAGACGUAGGAGGCGAGCGUUAUCGGGAUUUAUUGGGCGUAAAGCGGGCGUAGGCGGCUCUUCAAGUCAGAUGUAAAAUUUCCUGGCUCAACUGGGAGAGAACAUUUGAUACUGCUAGGCUAGAGUGCAGCAGAGGGAGGUAGAAUUCCCGGUGUAGUGGUGAAAUGCGUAGAUAUCGGGAGGAAUACCAGUGGCGAAGGCGGCCUCCAAGGCUGUAACUGACGCUGAGGCCCGAAAGCGUGGGGAGCGAACAGGAUUAGAUACCCUGGUAGUCCACGCCGUAAACGAUGGACACUAGGUAUGGGGAGUAUCGACCCUUUCCGUGCCGAAGCUAACGCAUUAAGUGUCCCGCCUGGGGAGUACGGUCGCAAGACUAAAACUCAAAGGAAUUGACGGGGGUCCGCACAGCAGCGGAGCGUGUGGUUUAUUCGAUGCACACGAGAUCUUACCAGCUUGACAUGUCGAGUAGCGACGAAGUAGCGACUGUAGUCAGAGCGUCACAGUGCUGCAUGCUGUCGUCAGCUCUGCUGAGGUGUAGUAGUUCUGUACGACGCAUCAUGUUGUCAGUGAUUUCUCUGGCGAACUGCCCGCUUACGGAGAAGUAGGAUGACUCAGUCGCAUG
rnacentral:rRNA from 1 species